CUGUUGUUAGCGGCGGACGGGUGAGUAACACGUGGGUAACCUGCCUGUAAGACUGGGAUAACUCCGGGAAACCGGGGCUAAUACCGGAUGCUUGUUUGAACCGCAUGGUUCAAACAUAAAAGGUGGCUUCGGCUACCACUUACAGAUGGACCCGCGGCGCAUUAGCUAGUUGGUGAGGUAACGGCUCACCAAGGCAACGAUGCGUAGCCGACCUGAGAGGGUGAUCGGCCACACUGGGACUGAAACACGGCCCAGACUCCUACGGGAGGCAGCAGUAGGGAAUCUUCCGCAAUGGACGAAAGUCUGACGGAGCAACGCCGCGUGAGUGAUGAAGGUUUUCGGAUCGUAAAGCUCUGUUGUUAGGGAAGAACAAGUGCCGUUCAAAUAGGGCGGCACCUUGACGGUACCUAACCAGAAAGCCACGGCUAACUACGUGCCAGCAGCCGCGGUAAUACGUAGGUGGCAAGCGUUGUCCGGAAUUAUUGGGCGUAAAGGGCUCGCAGGCGGUUUCUUAAGUCUGAUGUGAAAGCCCCCGGCUCAACCGGGGAGGGUCAUUGGAAACUGGGGAACUUGAGUGCAGAAGAGGAGAGUGGAAUUCCACGUGUAGCGGUGAAAUGCGUAGAGAUGUGGAGGAACACCAGUGGCGAAGGCGACUCUCUGGUCUGUAACCGACGCUGAGGAGCGAAAGCGUGGGGAGCGAACAGGAUUAGAUACCCUGGUAGUCCACGCCGUAAACGAUGAGUGCUAAGUGUUAGGGGGUUUCCGCCCCUUAGUGCUGCAGCUAACGCAUUAAGCACUCCGCCUGGGGAGUACGGUCGCAAGACUGAAACUCAAAGGAAUUGACG
rnacentral:rRNA from 1 species